rnacentral:rRNA from 1 species
UACAGAGGUCUCAAGCGUUGUUCGGAUUCAUUGGGCGUAAAGAGCGCGUAGGCGGCCAGAUAAGUCCGGUGUGAAAGUCAAAGGCUCAACCUUUGAAUGCCGCUGGAAACUGUCUGGCUAGAGUCCGGGAGGGGCGAGUGGAAUUCCUGGUGUAGCGGUGAAAUGCGCAGAUAUCAGGAGGAACACCAAUGGCGAAGGCAGCUCGCUGGGACGGUACUGACGC